rnacentral:rRNA from 1 species
UACGUAGGGUGCAAGCGUUGUCCGGAAUUAUUGGGCGUAAAGAGCUCGUAGGCGGUUUGUCGCGUCUGCUGUGAAAACUCACAGCUUAACUGUGGGCGUGCGGGCGAUACGGGCAGACUGGAGUACUGCAGGGGAGACUGGAAUUCCUGGUGUAGCGGUGGAAUGCGCAGAUAUCAGGAGGAACACCGGUGGCGAAGGCGGGUCUCUGGGAAGUAACUGACGCUGAGGAGCGAAAGCGUGGGGAGCGAACAGG